rnacentral:lncRNA from 1 species
GUGGGCACGUUGUCGUCCAGAGAGCAAGAGCGUCGCUCCCCCUCGCCUUCUCGGCCGCCCUCCCGGUUUACCGCCCCCUGUGUCCAGAGUAAGAAAAGGCUAGGGUUGCGCUUCCCUCCCAAGUUGACUAGGGGUGGGCGCGAGUAAAAUCAUGACAUAUUCGAAUUCCAGUGGACAUUAGAUAUUCUUUGAGAGACGGCAGGUACUUGAGUAAACAAGAAAUGCCCACCAUAGGCCUGAAGGAGAAGUUUCCCUUUUAACCUACUCUCUUGGUAAAUUUAUCCUGCACUUCUCUGUUUGGUGUCUCUGUCCGGUAACUUUUUACUCUUGCAUAGCUCAGUUAAAAAUUUUAGAUGGGAAAUAGUGAAAGAAGUCUAAUGGGAUUUUCCCUCCAGGGUUUCAGAAUUGCCUGGGACCCGUGAACCCUUUUUUCCUUCCCCUUUCUCUCUUUUGGAAUGGAUUGUCUACCCUAUGCCUGUCUCCCCCUCCAACCCCCGGUCUUUUAGAAGUGGAUUAACUCGUCUCGCUUCACAGGAUCACAGAUGGAGAGACAUUUUGCCACACGAUGAAUCACACAGUAAGUCUCCUCUGUAGCUUAUUUAAAUGAUGUAGAUGGUGAGAGGAGUUGAUGCGGAAAGUGUUAAGACUUUUGGUAAUGUUGACAUGGUGCGAAAAUGUAUUUUGCACAUGAGAAGGAAAUCAAUUUUGGGAACCAGAGGGCAGAUUGGGUUGAACUGUGUCUCCCAAAAUAGAUGCUGAAGUCCUAACCCUCGGUGCCUGUACAUGUGACCUUAUUUGAAAAUAUGGAGUUUGCAAUUAUGAUUAAGAUGGGUCAUACUAGAUUAGGGAAGCUGUUCUUGUAAGAAGAGGAAAAUUUGGCUGAUACAGGAGGAGGACAGCCACCUGAAGAUGGAGGCGGGGACUGGAGUGAUGCUGCCACCAGCUGCCAGAAGCUGGAAGCAGCAAGGCUGCAUCCUCCUGUAUCCCCUUUGGAGGGAGGAUGGCCCUGCUGCUACGGUGAUCUCAAACUUCCAGCCUACAGAACUGUGAGAAAGUCCGUUUCUGUUGUUUAAAGACUCCCAGUUUGUGUACUUUAUUAGGGCGAUCCUAGAAAACAAGUAGAGAUUCAUGUCUGGCAAAUAAUGAUCAAACAAUGAUUUGUUGGAUAGAAUGGUGAUUAAAACCUAGGUUAGAAAAUGAGCAAAAUGGGAGGGAAAGCACCAGGACAAAUAGCUAAUGCAUGCAGGGCUUAAUACCUGCAUAGGUGAUGGGUUGACAGAUGCAGCAAACCACCACAGCACAUUUUUAUGUAACAAACCUGCACGUUCUGCAUAUGUAUUCCAGAACUUAAAAAUACAUUUUUUAAAAAAAGACAAAAUGAGCAGUGUCUACAGCUUUCUGGAGUGUGACAGCAUCACCAGCUUAAAGCUGUUACUAGUACUAAAUGGAAUAAACAUUUCCCUCUAAUUUCCCCUUAAUGUCCUCAGAAACACAGAUGAGGGAUACAUCUUCAUAUGACUCCUCAGAGCACUAAAAUGAUAUCAAAACACUCUUCCCACAAGAAAUGCACAGACAAAGGAUUCUUCAGAUAAUAGGAAUAAGAAAUGUGAAAUAAAUUAGAAUAAACCAUGCAGCUAUUUUAAAUAUUUACUCCUGGAAAAAUAGUAAGUUACAUAGAAUCAGUUUUGGGAAUAACUUUUCCGUUUUCACCUUUUUAUGAUUAUUGUAAUAAUUGGAGGAAUUAAUAAAGUAAAACCAUCUGAAUAAGUUCAUCCCAAGCUGAUUCUGAUGGAUGGUCUGGCAGAUUUAUAAACUCUCCUCUGUCACUGGCUGCUGAACAGAAGGAACCCUGUGAAAGUUGUGUCAUCGUCCUCAUCAGCAAACAAGCCAUUGAACCUCUCUCCUCCUGUCACCUGCAGCCACAUCUCAUCCCCGAGCUUCAGCUGCAGGACAAUGCUGCCAGAGGCCUGGUCCUCAGAGCUCACGUAAGCAUCUCUGGUGUGCAGUAUUUUUACUCCGUUUUUGACCAAAGACACCUGAACAUUCCUGGAGAAAACAGUGAUGUGGCAGACCAUUGUGACCGGGGUUCCCAGGGAUUCCAGGGUGCCCUUGCCUGCAGGUGUCCUGUGAGUUUAUGUUCCCUGUGCAGAUUUCAAUGGCAAGCAGAAGCCACCAGAUCCUCAUGGUUCAGAUGACAGACUGAACUGAAAGAGGGAAACAGAAACCCAGAGGAGAAACCUUUGUUGCUGGGGCCCUGGACACAGCCUCCGUUCUGUGCAGUGGGAAAUGGAUGAGCUGUCCCCUGCCCCAGACCCACACCUGGACAGACUUGGCAGAAGACUCAGGGCAGGGGAGCAAGCUGGUUAUUACCAGGAUGACAUUGUCCUUGGAAGGUAACACUUGUGAUUGGAACCACUCUUCAAGCUGAACGGGCAAUAAAAAAAAGCCAAGUUUAAGGUCA